GUUAAACGGAAACAAAUCGGAAUAAGCCGUACGCAUAGUGAUCGGAAACAAUUCCGUUCCCCACCACUUGGAGGAUCCGUUUUUGACCGACAAUCUAAACGGAUAUGUUUCCGUGGACAGAUGAAGACUGUGUUGCCCCCUCCCCUCAAAUUAAUUCAAUCGAAGGGGCUGUCGCAGUGGCAGUCGACACCUAAUGCCUAAUGAAUGACAGAUCCUUUCAUUCACUAAAUCUUGGUGGUCAAGCAAGAUGGUGUUGGGAACACACAGUGACCCAGAGUUGUUUACGUCUUGUGCACAUUCUGUGUUGGCUUCUAUUCACCCAAGUAAUCAAUAAUCCCUUUUGUGUCUUCCCUAAAGCAAAGGAUUCUAUCAGCUGCUUGCUUCAUUUGAAUCCAGUUGACAGUUACAUUUACUAGCUGUUCGAAGUUUUAUGGGUGGCUACUGUUUAGUAUUAGUAACAUUAAGCUUCAUCUGAUUUAAGUAAAAGAAAUAUUAAGGGAAAAACGACUCUUUGGAAACUAACAUAAACAUCAUGGUAUAGGAGUUAUAUAUAUGGUAUAUGGUAUAACUCCUAUACCAUGAUAAACAUGUACCAAUCCUUUACACACAAAACAACAACAAAAGAAGAGCUUGUUAUGGUGCUGUAAUAGUAUAUUUGCAGAAUUGCAAAAUUGCUUGCCUGAAGAAUGUACUCAGGAUUGAAAAAUGUUCACAGCAAAAACGUCUAGUUUCAAUUCUAAACGUCAAAUAAACAGAUUUCCGGGCAAGCCGGUCAUGAAGGAAAUGGAAGAAUAUUCUCUGUAUUACAUGGCAAGAAGAAUACAUCCUUGACGUCACCUCUGUGCUGCAGAAAAAUCAGCAAAUCUACAUCCUAAUUUUCUGCUGUUCCGUCAGUCACUCCAAUGCUUUCGACAACAGGACAUCAGCAGCAUUCUUCAAUCAGACUGCUCCUGUUUGUUUUGAAGAUGUAUUGCUUGUCAUGCCUGAAUUACGUUGUUUCCCUACUUCAUUGGACAGCAGACUUAGAUCACAUGUCGACUGUGAAAAAGAUCAUCUUUGUUACCGAAAAUGGCUCUCUCCAUUCGCGACACCAGACCUCCCCAGUGUGUCAUUCUGAUGCAGAGCUCCAUAAAUGAAGUUGAACGUUUUGAACCAUCUCAGGCCAAAGCUGAAGUUCUAGUUCUGUUUUUUCUGCCUGUAAACCCAUGAUUUCAACUAAUUGAAAUGCAAUUUAUUGUGUUGUUUGCAGAGGUAUUAGGAAAGUAGUCGCUUUUUGGCUAGAAUUUCUACGCCAUCAGAUGCAUCAAUAGGAAUGGUGUUCACUUCCUCGACGUCAUUGCUCACAAAACUUUUAUGCAUUGUUCUUAUCUCGAAGUUAUAUCGACUUGAAAAGGCCAAUCGGAAGAGAGUACUCUUUUCCUUGACAUAAAGAACGGAAAUUUAAUGCAUUAGCAAGUCAUCCGCAUCCAACCAGAUCAAACGCUCGAGAUAUCCCGCCUCGUCCGGCAACUUACUAUCCAGCAACGCAUCCAUCAACACUAAUUGACUACAUGCCGAAUCGACGAUUUCCAUACAAGAUGAAUGUUAAAAUCCAAGGAGAUCUGGUGAGCAGGAUGCAACGGACUAUGUCAUGUCAAACCAUUAGCUGAAUACAACGAAUACCAUCAGCAUCAGCUCUCCAGAACGAGAGGUUAAUAAUCAUACUGAAUCAAAAGAGAUACCUAGUUGAACGAGAUUUUAGAAUGAUAACGACUGGAAGUGCAAGUGGAAAUUUCAAAGAACGCUACCUGCACGUUAGAUUUCAUCGCUGAUUCAUCUCGAAGAUAAAAUAAUUAAUUUUUAUAAAUUGAAGUGCAUAUCUGGGCUCCCUUCUUUUCUGUGGUCCCGUUUCCCCUUGACUUGUGAUAAGCCCGUAGGGGGUCAUGCCCCUACUGUGA